GUGGCUCCGACUGCGGCAAGGCCCUAGGCCGGUCUUCCCUACCUUCAGGUCAGCGUCAAAUGAAUCUGUCAAGCCGACCUCGCCUGAUGAGCUCCUCAAUUUCAUCUCGGAGCUAAAUGCAUUCUUCCGUGUCAUGGCUGUAUUCACAGUGAUAGAGGUAGAAUUUGUUUGAGUUGUACUUUUCGGGGUGUGAGUGCAUCCUUUCUGACCUUGGCAGCUAGUCCCUAACCUCCAUCAGUACUUGAGUUUUCAAUGCAUUGAGAGGGGCGUAACUAUGAAAUCUUUCAGGGGGACAGCUCCAUCAAACUCUGUGGUUCGGGCUCCUCUGCUUAUGAGCUCGAGGAGGAGUCCGAACACGCCUGUGUCCGGGAGGAGUUCGAGAACGCAA
rnacentral:lncRNA from 1 species